GUGAAAGAAAAGAAAAAGAAAAUCCAAAAUAAAGCAAAAAUGACAUCAUUUAAAAAUUUUGACCAAUCACAAAUUAAGCCAUCAAUUGACUAAUAAAUAAAAAGACAAAAUGAAGACUAAAUAACCACAAAUUCCAGCAGCUUCUUCCUCAUUUCAGCCGUAGCCCUUUCUUUCCCAAAGCCUUCCACCAUUGUUACUCACUUUAAGCUUAAAUUUCCUUAAAAUCUCACCAUAUUUCCCAUAAUUAGCUUCAUAAAAACUGAAUAUCUACCCUAGCUAGAGUGCUUGGAAGUAAAAAGGAAGCAAGAAUCUUGAAGUUGGCAAGAAAGAGACUUGGCUAAAUUAAGGUACUGGAGAUCCCGAUCGUGAGCCCAGUAGACCACAGACUGGGUGAGUCCAUCUGACAGUUCUGCUCAGUGUCCGUGUCACCUCACUACCUGCAGUGCAUCGGUAGGGCACUAGGUGUCAUUUUGUCAUUUUGAUAUUUUGUAGCAGAUUUGUAUUUUCUCAUAUGUAUUUGAACUCAUGUAAUAUAUUUUGAUGGUUAUGUAAAUAAUGAAAGUUAUGACUAUGAAUGCAAGAUUUAAGCAUGUAUUUAUUGCUUGUAUAUGAGAAAUGGAUGUUGAGAAAUGAAAAGGUUGUUGAAACCUGAAACUGAAAAAUUGUUGAAACCUUGA